rnacentral:rRNA from 1 species
UACAGAGGGUGCGAGCGUUAAUCGGAAUUACUGGGCGUAAAGCGUGCGUAGACGGUUAUCUAAGUCGGAUGUGAAAGCCCCGGGCUCAACCUGGGAAUUGCAUUCGAGACUGGAUAGCUAGGGUACGGUAGAGGGAAGUGGAAUUUCCGGUGUAGCGGUGAAAUGCGUAGAUAUCGGAAGGAACAUCAGUGGCGAAAGCGACUUCCUGGACCAGUACCGACGUUCAGGCACGAAAGCGUGGGGAGCAAACAGG